GCUACAUUGGCUCCCAUCCUGAGAGUAAAUUGUUUUUAAACUGUUAUUUAUUAAUGUUUUAUUAAUAUGUUUUUAAUUCCAUGUAGCAAUAUUUGCUUAUUAUUUUUGUCUAUUGCUUCUAUUAUGUCAGAAAUAUUCAAAAUUAACAGUGUAUUUUUAAUUACAAAAAAUGAUGUACAGGCACUGAAAGAGUUAAAAUGAUGCAAUGACUAAGGAAAACCAGUAGGGUAAUAUAAGCAGGUGUGCCUGUGAGUGAGUCACUCCUCCUGUGUGAAGACUUCCUUUUGUGUAAAGAAUGACUUGGUGUAAAAAGUGCUGUGUUUGACUUCUACGGUUUGAAAAUUGAGAGAGAAGCCCAGCUUGAAGGCAAGAAGCUGAAGCAAAGAUAUACUAAGGAAGAAAAUGUCUGAGAGGACCUGCAUUAUGGACUCCAUCUGGAUGGGCCUGGAGAGAAGCUUUCAGUGGCUGCUCCUAACUCUGGAAUAGUAAAAAAGAUGACAUGCUUUAUUGGUACAAGAGUGAAGUGGUAUUGCUUAAAAAGCUUCCGAUGGAUUAAGCCAUGGCAUCUGACUUUGGGUUUGAACGGAGGAGUUCAAAGAAUGUUGGCUACCUGGAAACCAGUCUCUAUUCUAGGGUGAGAAGCUGCGUGCAUAUGGUAAAAGUUGAAUGUGCACUAGUAAUCCGUAUGCUACUGACUGAGAAUCAUAGCUCCAGAAGAAUCUGUGCUCCAUGGAGAAGCAGAUGAUGAGAGGGAAAGUGCAGAACACUGUUGUUAAGCAAGGACGAUAAGAAGUGUACAGGACUCUUUUUGAAGCAGACAAAGCCACCUAGGUAGACUGACUUCCGUUGGAUCUGUUCUGUAGAUGGAAGAAAUAUGUAGCAUAAUUUUGGAGUGGGCUCCAAAAUGGAUUGCUGAUAGGUUGGCAGAAGCUGAAGCUAACAGCAGGAGCUCACUCCAUUCCCCGGAAUUCGAACUGCUGACCUUUCGAUCAGCAAGUUCUGCAGCUCAAUGGUUUAACUCGCUGCACCACUGGGAGCUCUACAAUAUUGUUAAAGUCGAUGAAGAAGGAGUUACAAUUUUAGACUGCAACUCUCCAAAUCACCAACCCCAUUCACUAAAUUUGGGGAUCUGCACCCCCAAAGGGUACAUCUAUCAAGCAUUACUUAGAAUAGGCCAUACAAC